UCAUCUCCGACAUAUAUAUCGAUUUUCAGUAUUCGGUGAACUGUCUUACUUAGGUCUCUGAAGGCUUAUGCACUUUCUUAGCGGCACUUUCUUAGAAAAUGACAUCCUGUUUCCACGAUUCUUUAUCGUUCCUGAGGUGCAGGUACCAUGAUGUUUAACGAGGAACGGUAUAGGUGUCUAAUUCCAUGUAUAAAUCGGUUAUAAAUUCUUCAAUUUUGAAGCGGUCUUCUUCGGAUAGUGCAGGUUCACAUAUCUACACAUCCGUCAGGCUUUUCAUGUACGUGACACUUUCUCUAGUCUAGUUUCCGAAUUAGAAUCACGCUCAUAUUUCUGGGCAUUGUUUGUUGGUGUUCGAUGAUAAUAUGAUAAAUGUCUUUGUCUUUCAAUCGUUUAAUAUCCAACAACUAAUCUUGGUCUCAUUGAAUUAUCCGGUUCAAUUUUUGUGGAGCAGCAGAUCAGACAGAUUCAUCUCUUAGUGACAACUCUGCUUAUUCUUCCAAAGAAAUAAUAUACUAGUGAAAUAAUUUUAUUCAAUCGAAAUCAGGUUCUUUUGAACUAUAAUCAGGUUUUUUGAUUGACAGACAUUCAAUCUCAACUAAUACGGUUGUCAAACUUUCCCUACCUUAGUUUGCGAGUUAGAAUCGUUCUAAUAUUUCUGGCGACCGUUUAUUUUUUAUUCGACGAUAAUCGUUUUCGUCAAUCGUUCAUUUAAUACCUCUUAGUUAAUUUUCCAAUUGGUUCAAACUAUGGUUUAUACGUUCCCAUACCUUUAUCAGCUUGGCCCUACUGUGAUCAAUGCAGCUAACCCUUCAUAGUUUCGUUUACGAGGUAAUAUCGCUUCCUUCUUUUUUUGUGCGACCGUGUUCUUGGUAUUGAAUGAUACGCGUUUUCGUCAGUCGUUCGUUUAAUAUUCAUUUAUUAAUUUUAUUACUGUUGAAAGUAUGACUUUGGAAGUAGAAUUUACACGUUUCCACAGGUUUGUUACUUUAGACGGGGGAAGUAUAUUUCUGGAGAGUGGAGAUAUAAGAGAUUCACUUCUUGAUUACGAAGGUCCUAUCUGUUCGGAAAAUAGAAAAAAUAUUUUUUCGUGAUCGAAGUUGCGCAACAUGAAAAUUGAACGUGGCUACGGUGAAAUAAACCCCACACUGAAUAUUUGAAUAAAUAAAUAUGCAUUAUCAAGAAGAGUGAGCGAGACAGAUCGAUCGAUUUUCACGAUGUGAAACGUGUGAAAUACGCUUCCACCUUGAAAGACGAUGAAAGUUAAUAAAUACAGGUUACGAUCGAUGUACGUGUUAAUUUGUUAUCGACAAACUAUUGGAUCGAAAAACAGCUGGUUUAGGGACGAAGAAACUUGGUCGAUGUCUGAAGCACUUCUGCAGACAAUUUAUUUAUCCAAUAGGAACGAUGAAACUUUUUCAAGCUUCAAGCUUUGUGAAAAAUAACUCUGUCGAAAACGUCGUAUUGAAACAAUGGGAUACGUCCAGUAGAUAGACGAUCCGUGGAAAUAAAAAGUAACCGUAAGCCUGGGAAAUGGACGCUUCUUACUACUUUAGCGAUUUUCAUUAUUCGAACGAUUUAGUCAAGUAAUAAGUACGUAUUUCUGUUAAAGAGGUGUUAUGUUCAGCUUCAUGGAUUUUUCAAUGCAAGAUUGAAGAAACGCUGUUGAGUGCCGAAGCGUGCAGACGUGUGUCUAGUGCUCUGUGAAGUUCACAAUACAACACGUGACGCCCAUCCGUCGAAAGUGAAUCCAAACAGACAUAAACCAAGUGUUUCUAAACUUACUGGUGGAAAAUCCAACGCUCCUAAUCUCUAAUCCGAAUCAUAGCCUCUCGACUAGUUAUUUCAAAUUGAAUUAACUAGCUCGAAGAUGGCCCAAGUAUCUCGAUCAGGCUCUCUUGAGCAAAACCAUAACUGCACCGCUCUACCUCCUCCGUGGCAAAAGGACAAUAUAUCCCUCCUUUCAAACGACACUAAAAACAUAAAAAAACGUAAGCUAGAAACAGUUAAAAUAAACGCAAACGCUAGCGAGAACGAACAGUCAAUAAGCCGUGUAACGACUUACAAUAGAUUUGCAAUAUUAGAAUCCACAAACGACUCCAUGGACGUAUAAAUUUGUUAAUACUAAUAAUUUGUAAGUUAUGAGUUGCAAAAUCUCUAAUAAUAUUGAUUCAAUUCUGCAAAAGAACCCAAGAGGAAGUCUUCCAAAGCACGGCUCGCUACAUUGUCAUCCACACGGAAAGCCUGACUGACAUGUGAAUACGUGUGAACAGAGCAAUCGUUGAUUGCAAUUACGCUACAUCAUGCCAAACUCGUAGGACGAGCAAUUCGAUCAACUAAUAAGCAAUAUUUUGUAAUUUCUCCUACAUAAAACUGUACUAAAAAGCAAAACAUAUGCACGUAUGAUAUUGAUCAAAUGUAAGAUAAGUUUUCUUAGUGCAUCUAAAUAGUAUACCGGGUCACAGCAAUUAUGUACCUCAAUAGAAUGCUAUCUCGAUCAGUUCCUUAAAAAUUAUAAAUCUAAACUUUGCUAGAAAUAGGUAUACAAAAUAUUAUACUGCUUUCGACACUUCAUUGCAUAUUGUAUCCGCUGUUUUUCACUUCUCAAUUGAAAACUGCAGAAAUCUCAUUGUUUUGUCAAUUAAGAAUACUUUUUUCAAUGUCAUUUAAUUUUUGUAAACUAU